GGCCCAGACGGGCAGUGGUGGAGGUGGAUAAAAAGUGGGUGACUGUAUUCAAAAUCCGGCUGGGCCCUGUGAUUGCUCAGGUGGGUGGGUGAGGCCAAGUGGCCGCCCAGGACGACUCCAGCCUUUGUCCCGCGUCCUGUCUUUGGACCGGAAUGAGCGCAGCGAACAUCCCUUUCAUCGUCUUAGGUUUUACCUGCCUUCCUCUUUGUGGAAGUAAGGAGUGGGGUGCCUUGCAGGUCUUCAGACAACUCUCUGUCCUGGCCACCUUCCUUGCUUUCACAGAGAGGGGACAGAUGCCAUCGUGGCCUCUUCAUCUGGGGUUUCAAGUCAUCACUGGUCAGCUUCCUUGGCAUCAGCUCCUCUGUCACUUCCUUUCUCUUCUACCAGUCUUUUCCCUCUAUGUCCCCUUCUUCAGCCCGGAGGGAUCUGUUACUUAGCUCCUUAAUUUGGGUCAUUUAAGUUAUGAAUCUUCCAGGGGUCACACAUGCGUCUUUGAGUCAGGCCCUUAGAUUUCCUUCCUCCCCUUUGUCUAUGUCCUCCCCACAGGGACACGUCUUGCCUCCAAAAGAGCGUAUGCCUGUAUCUCACAUCAGGCCACAGUCUUGGCCUUUCUCUGCAAAGCAGUGUGCAAAACACUCUUGUCAAUCAAAUCUUUUAGAAAUAUAUGUUUCUGAGGUAUCCUUGUAAGGAAUCAUUUUGUAAAACGAAUAAUCCUUCUGUCCUAAUCGCUGGAUUUCCCACUCUGCCCUGCCUCUUCCUCCGUCUUGAGUGUGAAGGCUCUGUGCUCCACGCUGGGCUGUGUGGAAGAAACGUUCACAGUCUGUGUCCACAAGAAGCCGAGGGUCUCAUGCUGGCUUCUGCAGGCAGUCCCUCCAUAUCCUGCACACCUGCAUCGGUAAGCUUGGCCCAGCAUCAGAUGCAUCAGGACAGGCACCGUCGCCGGCAGCUGACGGUGGCAUGCUUGAGAGCUUGGGGUUGGCAGAGAAUAAAGAUGGCGACGGAAUGAGAAAGGAGGGAAAGAGUGGAUGGCAGACUUUAAGACACGUGUGAGACGCCUGCAGGGAAGUCCCAGAACUAUCUGGGGGGACUUUGAGGAGUAAGUAAGAGUGGGCGGGGGCCAAGUCAGAGGGAUACCGUUUGCUGACUGAUACCACCCAAUUGUAUCGCCUGGCUGAUGAGUCCAGGGAACAUGGUUUGUGGAAGGCGAAAUUACCAGUGGAAGAAUAGUAAGCGCAGGUUACAUUAUUGACUUGAAUCUUUUCAGGGCGGUGCUCUGCAAGUGGGAUUCUGAGUUAAAUGUGGAUUCUGACUCAGUAGAGCUGGUGUUGUUUGGGGCCGGGGUAUUAUAAUGCUGCAUCUGAUGAGCUGCUGGUCCUGGGGCCUCACUUUGAGUAGCAAGGCUCUCUAAGUUAAAGAAUAUAAAUUGUAUGUAGGGAGACUUGGUGGAAAUCUUUGAUCAGAAGCCUGGGAUGGCAGAAACGUCCAAGAGAUUGUUUCUCAACUUGUAGUGCUCUAGGAUACCAGAAGUGUGUAGCUUGGGAGUCAGUCUGGUCUGAACUUUAGCACUGGCAUUCAGUACUGUGUGACCUUUGUGAGUUAUCUAACCUUGUAUGGUCUUGGUCCCAUCAUCAGUAAAAUAGAAACCUCAUAAUAGUGCUUAUUUCAUAGGGGUUGUUGGUUACAUUACUUAGUUGGAAGAAUCUGGGUUAAAGAAAGUAAAGCUGGUAUCCUUACUGCAGGACUUAUCAGAACCUUUAAUGUGCAAAAGUGAUGCUGCAAGAAGGAGCUAUAAGUGGUGUUUCCCAAACUGGCUUGACCAUUGAACCUCUGAUUUUCUUGGAGCCUUUCAUGGGCCUCUGGAACCUCUCUUUUAGGAGAAUUGAUCUGGUGGCAGACAGAAAGAUGAGUUCAUUUGGGAAAGACUGUGGCUGGAGAAUUCUCCAGGACCUGAGUCUGGCAAGAAGGGGGGCAGCAGAAUGUCCAGGUGUUGAGCCACUGAGGCAGUGGUGUGGGGUAGAGAGGAAGGAGUGGUCAGAAAAAAACACUCUGAGGUUGACUCAGGCUGGAGACUUGUUAGACAUGAGGGUUGGAGGGAAGGAGAAGUCAUGUAAGAUUCUUUCCCACCUAGAGAGAAACAGAAGGCCAGGGGAGAGUGCCAUGUGUUUAAUUUUCCAUCCUGAUUUAAAUUCUGCUGCUUCUUGCCCACAAACUAACAGCAUGCCUCUUGAGUCUCUAGGGCAUUUUACAGUAAAGCCACAUAUUUUCUGAAGCUGGGUCAAGAUUGAGCAUAUGAAAUUCCUCAAGUGUGAAAUUCUACUUAACCCCAUUAAUGCUUAUAACCCUGAGCCUUAAAUGAGGUAUCUCAUCUGAAGUUGACGGCCACUCUGUAAGGUCAGCGGAAAGGCAUUUCAAUCCCCUUGGUCAAGGCUACAGAGAUGGGGGUCCCCCCUCCUCGGUUUGCUCGCAGAGGUGGGUGUGAGAACCUAUAGGAGUGUCUGGAAGAGAUCCUGCGGAAGUCAUUUUGCCCAGAGCUGGAGGAGAAGCAAAAG